rnacentral:rRNA from 1 species
UUUUUGGAGAGUUUGAUCCUGGCUCAGAGUGAACGCUGGCGGCGUGGAUUAGGCAUGCAAGUCGAGCGAUCCUUGUCUGAAAUAUUUUGAAGUGCUUGCACGGAUAAAUACGGAAGACGCUGGAUAGCGGCAAACGGGUGAGGAACACGUGAACAAUUUUCCUUAAAGACAAACAUAGCUUCGUGAAAACGGAGGUAAUAUUUGAUGUGCUCUUUUUAUCGCAUGAUAGUUAGAGUAAAGGUAGGGACCCUUCGGGGCCUGCCGCUUUGAGAUGAGUUCGCGUCCUAUCAGCUUGUUGGUGAGGUAAUGGCUCACCAAGGCGUUUGACGGGUAGCUGGUCUGAGAGGAUGGUCAGCCACACUGGGACUGAGACACUGCCCAGACUCCUACGGGAGGCUGCAGUC